UACGAAGGGGGCUAGCGUUGCUCGGAAUCACUGGGCGUAAAGCGCACGUAGGCGGAUUGCUAAGUCAGGGGUGAAAUCCUGGAGCUCAACUCCAGAACUGCCUUUGAUACUGGGAAUCUCGAGUCCGGGAGAGGUGAGUGGAACUGCGAGUGUAGAGGUGAAAUUCGUAGAUAUUCGCAAGAACACCAGUGGCGAAGGCGGCUCACUGGCCCGGUACUGACGCUGAGGUGCGAAAAGCGUGGGGAGCAAACAGG
rnacentral:rRNA from 1 species